GGACCGGGGCUCGAACCCGUGUCCCCUGCAUCGGCAGGCGGAUUCUCAACCACUGCGCCACCAGGGAAGCCCCCUCUCAACCCUCUUGCAUUCAGUCUCGGAAUCGAAGGCCGAGCCCUAAACCCUGCCUGAGAGGAGGAACUUCUCUGAGGCGACAGAUACCUUGGAACCUGGCCCCUUCUCUAAAUACUGUGCACUAAGCAGUGUUCCAGCUUCGGGGGACUCUGCUCCCACCAGGUUUGCUGCCCGGUAGUUUGAUCGGAGCUCACGAGCUCACUUGCUUGCACUGGUGGUGUAGUUUUCUAGAUGGUAAAUGUAUUUCUGCAGCACGAGAAGGUCAUCGCCUGGACGUUGUUCACAAACCAAGGUUAAAGGCGACCACGGGCGGGUCUCACGGCAGCCAUCUUUGAACAUCUCGAAAUAACAGCGCAGGACGCAGCAGAUUCCCCUCUUCCAGCAAGCCCCUCAAGAUGACUCCCCCCUCCCACUGCAUAUUCCUUGUAUUGGAAUAGUGCGAUGUGAAGCAUUGGAGCCCGUCUGUUUCAUUCUGCUGCGUACUACAAUUAGUUUCCCUUGUUUCCUCUGUUCCAGCAAAAGAGAAGGGUUAGAGAACUAGUUAUGUGUCUCCCUCUCUUAUGUGUUUUCCAUGGAGCUUGGCAUAAUAACCAGAUACACGCAUUAAAAUUAGACUUUAUUCAGCAUAUUUAAGAAGAAUAUACCAAGGACAGAUUAACAGCACCUAUUUAAGAAACACAAACAUUACUUAAUAAUAUUUAGUUAAACCACAAACAUCAAUCUCUCUGUAUUCCCCAAGCAGGAGUCCGUUAUUCCUGUCCAGCAAGAACAUGUACUGUAACCAUUUUAGAAAGGAUCCAAUUAAAGCCAACCAAUAUAUGAAACCUUGUCCUUGGGCAGAGUCUCCGAGACUACUGACCCGUGUAACAGUAAUCAUGUAUGAAUUUGACUGGGGUGUGAAGGGGUUUCUCUUCUUGCUGGGGGGAGGAGGAUUAAGUCCACCCCUUUUGUGCACCUGAAGGUAAGUUGUGCCAGUGGGAACUUGGCCCCAGGAUUGUCGUUUGGCAAUCCUUUGAAAAGGCACUUUUAAAUUACAAAUACUUUUUGAUAAGGAAAAGGAAAAAUUCAAAUUCAAAAUUUAAAAUACUAAAGAAAACUGUUUAUUGACUGAAUGCAUUUUCCUCCUGCUUUCAGUCUCAAAAACAGCACAUAAAAUUUGGUAUUAAAGGCAGUUUUAGAAAUUAUUCAAUAUAUAUAGCUUUCAGCUUUAAUAUUUUUAUUCUUAAAAUAUAAUAAACUCAUCUCAUAGUUGUCUUUUCUUGUCUGAUGCAAAUGCCAUUGCUAUACGAUUGUAAUUCUCAAACAUCUUAGCUGUGACCCCCGGAGGAGUCCCACUACUUCUUUAUGUAUUUACCCAUCUAUGCUCUCUUAUCUCUCAGGCAACCGAUCAAAGAAAAAAAAAAACAAAACUAAACAGAGCAGCCUUUUUCUGGUUUUUGGUGCUGCUCUGGGAGGGCAGGGAUGGUGGCAAUAUAGAUCUGCUCGAUGCAAACCCUGCCAGUUCACAGUCGGGCACUGGUUGGAUCUUGAGACUACAUCAUUCUUUCCAUCCUGCUAACAGGACUCCAAUAGCCUGUCCUGGGGCCUUUGCUCUUUAAGGAUGAAAGGAUUGUCUUUUUUGAUUCUGCAUUCUAUACAAUGAAUGGAAAACAGGCGUACCAGUGCCAAGCAUGUUGUGGAGAACUGCCAGCGAGGACUUUGGCCAAGACGAUUAAGUCACAGUAAUGACCAACUGUACCAGAAUAAGUUCUCACCUGUCGUAUAUUAUACCAGGGAUUUAAGGAAUGAAAGGCACCACUUCCUGCCACCCCACCUUGGAUCCUCUUAUACAUCCUGCAGUAUACACUUUAAAAAGAAAACUUUACACACAAAUAUACUAUGUUCUACUUCAGAAACUGACCAAGGUGUGGGUCACAAAUAGAAUUCUGCAUGCAUUUUAUUAACUAACUUUACAUGUACGUACUACCCAAUUUUGAGGGUGACACUAUCUACGGACACAUACAUCUAAUAUCUAGCACCUUAUCUCCAAGAACACAUAUUUUAUAUACAGUAAUAGCUUACAUUUAGAAGAAUUACUACAGAAAGGAAUACACCACUGAAACAGACAAAAAUACCAAAUUUUUAACAUUAAAGUUGUAGCACAGAUGAAGGGAGGGGGGAAUCCACUCAACUUUGAAGCACCAAACUAAAACCAAUCUUGUUUUUGCCUGUAUUUUAGAACAAGAGAGAUCCAGUAACGAAUCCUUGGCCAUAGCAAACCUCUUGUAAGCAUUUCUACUCAGAGGACAGGCUAUAGCAACCUCGAACUCCUUUGACCAUGAAAGAUCUUCAAGGCAAUACCCCUCCCCGCAUAGAAGGACUGGUCACACGGGCCAUUUCUUCACCCAGAUAUCCUUUGAGGACAGGUCGAUACAAGAGUUUGGCAAUAAACUGGUAUCAUAAAUUUAUGACUAUUAAUUCACUUUAUAUGCUUUGGUAGAAAAAUAAAUGAUUUGCAA